rnacentral:rRNA from 1 species
UACGAAGGGAGCUAGCGUUGUUCGGAAUCAUUGGGCGUAAAGCGCGUGUAGGCGGUCCGGUAAGUCCGCUGUGAAAGUCGAGGGCUCAACCCUCGAAUGCCGGUGGAUACUGUCGGGCUAGAGUGCGGAAGAGGCGAGUGGAAUUCCUGGUGUAGCGGUGAAAUGCGCAGAUAUCAGGAGGAACACCUAUUGCGAAGGCAGCUCGCUGGGACGCAACUGACGCUGGGACGCGAAAGCGUGGGGAGCAAACAGG